CCAGCCAGUUUACACAGUCCGAAGGCUGCUGGAUUCUCGACAGGUUCGUGGAGGCGUCCAAUAUCUUGUGGAUUGGGAGGGAUUUGGUCCAGAGGAGCGGUCCUGGGUCCCGGCACAAGAUAUUUUAGAUCCCACCCUUAUCUCAGAGUUUCGCCGAGCCCAAGGGAACAGUCGGAAGAACGUCAAGGGCCGUUCCUAGAGGAGGGGCUCCUGUAAUGAUCUCAUCCCUACACUGCUAUUCCACUCCCAACCUGCAGGAUGCCCUCCUUAAACCCUUUGGUUAUGCUUCCCCAAAGACUCUAGAAGGCACCAUUGUACCUAAUCUUGCUUAAUACGCUCUUCAUUAGCCCUGAUUCCCUGCACCUGUGUUUAACCCUUUAUAAGUGUGCUUGCUCUCUGCAUCUAUGUUCAGUCUUGAGCCUACGUACUGUGGUUGCCAGCUCGCAAGUCAAGUUUGUACCUUAUUGUACCUUUUUGACCCCUGUGUCUAUUUUCUGUUCCUUGUUUUACGGAAGCUCGGCUAUCCAAGUUUGUUUGUACUUUGUGACUUUAGUUUCAUUAGUAAAGAUAUUUUUUGUUUGAAGACUCAAGUCUCCUGGCUCUUUUGCUCUUCUGCUCUUGGGUUUCAAUGCCUGGAAGUUAGCUCAGUAGCUAAUACCACCUGCUCAGAACACCAGAGACCAGGGUUCUAGUCCCGCCUAGGGCGACCCCUGACAUACAAAACGCUUCAUUGUUGUGAACUCUAAAAGGGGAACAAAAGAGAACCAACCAAGUAGCUUCCAAGAAGACAGGGAAGCUUGUGCAGAAAAAAGCAGCAACUGUGAAUCCUCAGAUGGCCACUCAUUAAAAACCGCAUGGUCUUUGGGUGGGGCUUUAUCUAGUCAGGUUAAAUAAUGUUACAGUUCUGCAGGUAGAUCUGCAUAGUAAGUAUAGAUUACAUAGUCACAUUAUUGAGUCCUUCAACAAAAAUGUUUAUGAUGUCACUGCAUUGUAUUCUGGAAAAGGAUGUUCAUGUGAUGACACAGUAUUAUGUUCUGUUCAACCCAGCACUGGUGAAGCAGAAUGUUGAUAAUUGGUUUAAACAUUUUAAUAAAAGUGUAAAGUGUAAA